UCCGGAGCUGGACCUCUAGGUCCUGAGUGUCCUUUGGUCUGGUUGUGCUUGUGAGCGGAGUGGCUGGCAUCUAGAAAAUGGGGCGCACCCAACCAGCAGUGCAAUUCACGGCGCCGGAAGUGGCUAGAGAGAAUCUGGACAGAGCAGAUCUGCAGGAGAACGGGACAUCGGGAUUCGCAGGACACCGCCCUCACCCCAUUGUCCCUGGAUUGCGAAGUUGUGCCGCCUGAGCACUCCUUCUUGAUAUGGCCAGGGUAGCCAGCCGCCUGGGAAAUGCUGCUGGUCCUGUAGUACUUGUGUAAGUCAGGGUCUGGGGACCAAGCCCCUCUGAGCAAGGUGGUGGCAGGAAGUUGAAAAGUGAGCAUUCUUCACCUCCAGAAGGGAGCAAGAGGAACUUGUGUUCUGGCAGAGGGACCAGAGAAUUUGAACCUGGGACUGUUAUGUAAGCCCUGAGGUGUGUAACCCCAUUGAAAGAUCUCUAAUCACAUCUUUACUGUUGAGGAUAGGGUGGUCGUGCCAAGGGUGAACGAAAAGGACCCAGAGACCUCGAGUUCAGGGAUGAUUUGUAGCCUUUCCAGGCAGGGGUAAAGUCCCCAUAUUUGUCAUCUGUCCUUUCCCCUUCCUCAGUGCCUUCCCUCCUAAGUUCCCCCCGGGUCUUUCCCACAUCAAUAGAGGGAAAAAAUGAAAAUUUAUUUGUGCCUAGUUGUUGGGGACUGAACAUGCACCUUGCAUUUGCCAUUGAGGAAGGAUGUUCACACAUGUUUUUUUCCUUUUUUUGAGGCAGGAUAUCACUUUGUAGUGCAGGCUGGCCUUUAACUCAACAUGUAGCCUAGGCUGGCCUCAAACUCAUGGCAGUCUUCCUGCCUCAGCCUCCGAAGUGUUGGGAUUACAGGCAUGCACCACCAUAAUCGACUUAUUUAAGUGUUUAAAAACUAAUUCAUUUAUGUAAUCUUUACAGCAUCCUGUCGAGUAAGUACUGUAUUAUCUCUAUUUGACAGACAGAAACCUGAAACACAGACAAUAACUUCCUGGAGGUAGAGCUGAGGUUCAAACUUAAACAAUAUGAACCCAGAGUUCAUGAUCUGAAGCAUGCUAUAUGCUCCAGGAGUGAAGCAAAAGAGGCCUCUGGAUGUUUAAAAAACAGUUCUCCAAGUACAGGUCCUCAAGCUCAUAUACUCAGCUCACCAGGAAAGCCCUCAUACCCAUAAAAAACUCUGUAUCAUGAAAGAAUAAAUGAAUGAAUUAGUGAAUCUGAUUUCUAAGCCAGUAGCAAAUUAGGAAAAAUAUUCUUCAAAGGAGAUAUGUUCCCUUUCCACUCCUGAUUUUUUUUCUUCCCUGCCUGAACAAUUAGAACAAGGUGUCUAGGAGCAGACAGCAAGAUAGGUAUCUGCAAUGAGAGGUAAGACAGUGGGCCAAAGCAGUGCUUCAGAGUCCUAGCAGAGUGAAGAGAAUAUCCAAUAUGAGUGGCUAGCCUGGCAGGAGGCAUCAGCCUGACAGGGCUAAGAGGGCAUUGACCAAGGAAGGAGAUCACAGGUCAUGCUUCUGUAGUUACCCACCACUUCCAACCAGACCCCACCCCUUAACAAUAAAUUUAGCUGUAAACUCAUGAGUGGACUAACCAUCAGUGAGUAUAGUACCCAUGAUCCAGUCACCUCCCCAAAGCCCUACCUCUGUGGUCAUGAGGCUUUGGAGGGAUAUUAGAUAUAAAUCACAACACCUUCCUUGGAAGCAGAAUAGCUCCUCAGGGGCUGGGGAUUUAGCUCAGUGGUGCCGCGUCUACCUUGGAAGCACAAGGUCCUGAGUUCAAUCCCUGGUACUGCAAAAAAUAAAUAAAUAAAAUAGCUCCUCAGAGUCUUCCAGGAACCUGGGUUUGGGUAAAAGGUGAAGAUGAGUUUGUUUCACACCGUCUUUCCACCAAGCUCAUUUUACAUUACAAUGGGAAAUUUUGAAAAUGAGGCCAGAGUUAAGUAUAAUAGGCGGGAUAAGUAUAAUGGGGAGUGUGUGUGUUGAGCAUGGAACCCAGGAUUUGCACAUGCUAAGCUCGUUCUACCACUGAGUUCAACCCCAGCCCUCAAGGCUAGUAUAAUAUUUGCAAGAAUCUAGAAUGAAUUUACUGCAAGCAAGCUGAAGGCUGGCUUUUGGGAUGUUGGCACCCUUCUUCUGUACAUAGUUAUUGCUGGAGAAUGAGAGGCCAGGGUUCAGAGGUCAUGGUCACCACAUGGAGAUGAAACCGGGAGAUGGUACUAGGGACUGGAACAGAUACCAGGGGAAUGACUAGGUAGUACAUAGGAAAGCCUAGUCAACCUGAGUAGUCCACACAGUUUUGAAAAUCUCAGUCUAGACCAAUUCCAGCGAGCCAACAUCAUUAUCAGCUUCAGCUGCCAAGGCCCCAACAUAGAAAGAAAGACAUGGUUUAAUUUCAUGUUUAAAAAACACUUUUUCAGUGGGUGUCAAGUGGAGCCAGACGCAGCGGCAGCGGCUGCUCCAGGGGCUCGGGUAUCCCCAGUCACUUCGGUGCUGCCGGUGGCCACAGCCUCGCACCCAUGUUGGAGCGGCAGAGUGGAGGUCAUGGCUGGCUGGCUUCUUGGAUCUGAGGCUCCAGAGGAGUAAACAACUUCAGGGCUCUUAUCCCAGCUUAAUUGCAGAAACUGGACCUUCACAGGGUGGGGACUUACUGAGGACAGGACGUUCUUUCUUUAAAGGGCUUUACAUUUGUAGCAAAGAAAAUAAAAACGACAACUUCGUCUAUCAGAUGGCAGAUGAAAAACAUUGUGAAUGAUUAGUCAGAGGCUGAAAUUAAAGUCUGGGAAGCCACCCCCAGUGACCCAUGGGGUCCGUCCAACUCUGAUGACCGAGAUUACUGACCUGGCCUAGAGUGUGGUGGCUUUCUCAGAGAUCAUGAGCAUGGUGUGGAAGCUGCUCCGUGAUCACGGCAAGAACUGGUGGCAUGUGUACAAAGCACCAACCGUGCUGGACUACCUCAUUACGGCAGGCUCCGAGCGUGUGGCCCAGCAGUGCCGUGAGAACAUCUUCGCCAUGCAGACUCUGAAGGAUUUCCAGUACAUUGACUGUGAUGGCAAGGACCAGAGAAUCAAUGUGCAUGAGAAGUCAAAGCAACUGGUGGCCCUUCUCAAGGAUGGGGGGCGACUGAAGGCUGAGCGGGCCCAGGCUCUCAAAACCAAAGAGCGCAUGGCCCAGGUGGCCACUGGCAUGGGCAGCAACCAAAUCACCUUUGGCUGUGGCUCCAGUCAGUCCAACUUGUCUACCAGCUACUCAGAGCAGGAGUACGGCAAGGCCGGGGGAUCACCAGGCUCCUCUCAUGGCAGUGAUCGCUCCUAGGAAAGGAAGGAGGAUGGAUCAAAAGAAUCUCCACUGUUUCAGCCUUAGAUGUCAAGAAGAAUGAAAACUGGUACCACUGAUAAAAAUGAAACUGGGAAAGCAGGAACAACGAGGGAACACUUAUUCAAGAGGAAGUCCUCCAUCAUAGAGAACAUCAAGAUGUGACGGAGAAAAAUAACUCCCAUCCUGCCAGAUGUCAGAUGUGCUAAAGUGUUUGUCUUCCAAAUAUCAAAGAAUGAAUUUUGAGAAUAAAAGAGGAAAACAGAAGCAUUCUAGGAGAGGGAUGAGACGAUGGGAAGAGACGUUCUGGUCAUCCACCUGGCCAUCUGCUGCCUACCUGGUGUCGGUGGACCAGUGGUGCUGAUUACAGUGUGAUCUCAAGUUGCUGUUGAUCUCUAGGGAGGCUUGCAGGCCUGGCUUUCGUAUCUCUGUCUCAAGGCCUGGCCCUCUUCGGAUGUUACCACCAGCCACAAUUUUGAUGUUUUUAUCUUUUGCACUGACUUCCUUAAGGGCCCAAUCCCUGUCUGAUUACCUGUUAAUUUCCAUCUAACUUAGCUGUCUAUAAUAAAGGGAUAUGCCCAGGAACAGUGUUAACUAUUUCUAAACUCAAAGAAUUUUUUAAAACACUUUCAGAUGGCAUUACACAGAAUCAUAAAGUAGGGAAAUCUCAGGACAACCUCUCAAGGAUUGGGAGCUGGAACCAUUCAGAGACCGUGAACUCCCUGGCUACAGGAAACCUGGGCCUGGUGAGAGACUGAAGCUGCACUAAUUGUGACAGGAGCUUCAGGCAGUUACUCCCUGACCUGUCAUGUUAAAGUCAUGCGGUGGGAUUUCUUACUCCUGUCUUAACUGUGGAAAAUGUUUCACCCAAGUUCCAACCUGCUCUAGCACCAGCAGAGUCACCAAUGGGAUAUGCCCUACGUGUGGGGCCUAUGGGAAAGACUUUGCUCAGAGUGCACCCCUCAUCCAGCACAGGUUUCACACUGGCCAGAGACCCCUAUCCUUGUCCUGAGUGUGGACACAACCUUCUGUGAAAGCUCCCACCCCAUUAAGCACCAGUGAAUCCUCUGGGGAGAAACCUUCCAUCUGUGGUGAGCGUGGCAAGGGCUUUAGUCAGCUCUGCUGCUGGCUCACCAGGGAUGAAGCCCUGUGUCUGUCCCCAGUACAAGGAGUCUCUGGAGACUGGUUGACACUGGCAUGCUACCAGAGUUCACACAGGUGAGCAUCCCUUCUCCUGUUCCAACUGCUACUAGUUUUUGUGUCCUAAAGAUUUUUUUUUAGGGAUUCUUCAUAUCCUGAACAGAGUUGGACAAGGACAUGUGGAAAAGGAUUUAUAUUUAUUAAGGAUUUACAUUUAUGGAGGGUGGAAAAUAAAUACACUCUGCAGAGUGGGCUCCUGAGAAAGUUCAGGGUGGCCACAAGGUUAAUGGGGGGGGGUGCUGUUUAUAUCUCACAUUCCUCGGCAUGAUGUCAGAUCUAAACUGUCCUAUCAAAGGCCGGCUUAGUUUCACGCCAGGUGUAAGUGAAGAACUGAAGAUAGUACUUUUGGAUUGGUCCCUCCUACAGGGUUUGGGACUUGCACAGUCUUCUUGGAUUCUUGUUCUUCGUAUGUGUUCUGGGUCUUCUAUGACUGAUAAGUCACUCCCACUGGCUCAACUGGAUUACCCCACCCCAACCUCUGUGCCUCACAACUGUGGAUACAGCUUUAGCCAGAAGAGGUUGCUCACCCAGCCCCUGGCCUGCAUACAUGGGAGGAGCCUCAAGGGUGCAGGCAACACGGGGAGAGCUUCAGCCUCCACACCAAGGUCAGCUGCCACAUUGCUUGACACAAGCCCCAUCCGUCACUUCAGGACUCUGGCCACAGCGGCCCCCCCUAUAUCCAGCCCACCAGAAGCCCUGGGUCCUCCUUUCAUUUCCAGCCUCCCUUCCUUUAUCCUGCCCCUCAGCUGCCAUGCUGAUUCUGCCUCCCGCUAUCACCAGACAGGGCCUGGGAGGUUCUUAACCCCCACCCUUCCCAUAGAAUUAAGUUAGAGGUUCAUUGACUCCCAUUGGGAAAAGAAUUUUCAGGGUGCAUCAUUAAUAGGCAUAAAGGGACUUAAUAGGCAGAAACUUCAAAGCACACACUCAAAGAAACUGCAGGCCCGAGAGGGGGGGAGAAAGAGAGAGAGAGAGAGAGGUGCGCUAUGAUCAGGAGCCCGAUAUGUCUGUCAGGGUCUUGGGAGUGUCUUAAAUUGAGUGGUCUCGGAUGUGUGUUCCGACUGCUAGGUAACCCGUCUGGCAGGCAGUGAUAAAGUGCAUGUGUUUGAAGGUGAAAUAUGCUGCCCACUAAUACGGUUUUCUUGAGGAUGGACGUCUGUGAAAAGAAGCACAGUUUAUAGGUGAGAAGAGAAGGUCUAUUCACAGGUGAAAAAUGCAAGUGGAAAGGAAUUUCCCAGGGUUAUUGUCUUGGAAGGAGUGGAGGAAAAUAUUUAAACUGGGCUUGUGUCCCAAGGCCACAGUUUUUCUUAAAAAUACAAUUUUAAAAUUCCAAUUUUCUUUGUCUCUUUUUAAUCUAUCUUUAUUUCUUCUAUCCUGCCUCAUCGCCCUCCUCAGUCUCCCACCUCCAGUCACACUCUUUAUCCCCCAGAUUCUUCACUUCAGCCCUUCAUCCUCUUUAAUGCACUGUACCUCUCCAUUAUUCAUCAGCCCUUCCUCCUCCUCCACUCUCUACCUCAAGAACUCAUAGCAGGUCCAGGCUGCAAGUUCACUCUCCACAGAGAACCAGAAGCAUCCAUGGCUGGCAAGUUUACCUGUUCUGCACGUAGGAAGAGGUUCUCGACCAAGCUCCUCUGACAUCAGUGCACCCAGAAGGUGAUCAGCCGUGUGCCUGCUCUGAGGGUACAGAGCACUUUACCCAGAGUGCCUCCCUGACUGAACUAGAAGAAAGCCAUACCUGUGCAUGGAAAGAGGCUGAGGGGUUCAAUCAAGAAUCUCCCUAUCAACCAGCAGCACUUACCCUCAAGGAAAUGGCUGUGGGAGACCUGGAGAUCCCGAUUGCCGGUCUGGGAGGCUCAGAGGUGGACAGGAAACACCACACCACCCACUGAGCAAGCAGCACAGGAGGCUGGAGUGAUGGGGCCCAGAAGCUAUCAAAGCAUGAGCUUGUGCAGUGAUUUAGGCACAGCCUGCUCUCAGUCAGCAUGAGGACUCAUCAUACAGAGCAGCCCUGCUGUUGGGGCCACUGUGGGCAUGGCUUUGAAGGGAGCAGCAAGCUCCUUCCCACCAUGAGACACCCUGGAGAGAAGCCCUACCAGUGUCUCCAAGUGGGAAGGGCUUCAACCAGAAAUCUGAUCUUGCCGAACACCAGAGAACCAAUGUGGUGCAGUCCUAGGCGAAACUUUUUGUAGCUUCACAGGUAGAUUUGUGCAUCAACCAUCCAUUUCCUCCCUCUACCCAUACGUGCAUGUAUGCAUCCGUGCAUGCGUGUGUGUGUGGUAUUGGGAAUUGAACCCAGGGCAGUGUUCACAUUGACCUAUACCCCCCCUUUUUUGGAAACAAGGUCUCACUAGGUUGCUAAGUUACACAAGCUUAGUUCAAACUUGUGAUUCUCCUGCCUCAGCCUCCCAGAGUGCUGGGGUUACAAGUGUGUGCCACCGUGAGGGCUCCAUACUUCCUUCUGAAGUUUUUGCCUCCCCAUCCUUCUCUUUCCUUUUCCUUAAACUUCACAGUUUAGGGUUAAACCAGAGUAAAGGAUUUAAGCAGGUGGUAGGAAAACAUAUGUUAGUGAAAUAUGGGAACACUGUUGUUAAGGAUGAGGUAAUAAAUGAUGUCUCAAUAACAGGCAUAAAUAUUACUCAUGAUUUUUUAAUUAAUAUACUCAUGAUUAUUUAAUUAAUAUACUCAUUUUUUUAAAAGUAUUUUUAAAAUUGUUCAUUGGUUGUCCAAACAAGGUGCUAGUAGAGUGGAAAAAAUGUUAACUAAUGAAAAUUCAAACUACCCAGAAGUCCUUCGUAGCAUCACCCGUCUAGCUACCAGAACUGCCUUUCUCCCAUAGCACUGCACCCUGGACGCAAGUCCCAUCAGGCACCACGUCCCAUUUGUCCUACUUCUGAGAAGCUUCUCAGUUCCACUGUCUUAGGUACAAAUCCUUGUCAUCGUUUACCUGGAUUAUUGCAAGACUCCUAAUUGACCUCUUCUGCUUCCAAUCUUUGCAUUCCAGUUCAUUGUCCAUACAGCUUAUCAGCUGGAUUCUUCUGUCAAGUCCCAGACUCCACUACUAAAUCCAGUGUCAACCUCCCGGAUCCACGCCUGGCCCUACCCUUCCCCAACAGAGCAGGGUCAAGAGGCCUCAGCAAGGGACACAUGACUGCUCAGCUAGGCUUCACUGUCUGUACAGCAUCACUGGCCAUGGCCUUUCACACCUCUGUGCCUUUGCACAGCCUUUAUUUUUCUCAUCCACUCAGAAUGCCCUUUUCCCUUUUAUGUCUCCCAAAUUUAUCCUACUUACCAUAUAAUCCCCACCUCCAUUGAAAACUUUUCCAAAUUCUAAUAUCAUACUGGGUGUGUUAACUGUUUAAAUAGCAUUAUUUGUGAACCAGUGAAUGGCUGGUGACAUUUCUGCCUCUCUGAGCCUCUAGCAGAAACUCUGGCACAGGCCUGACUCAUAGUAGACACUCAAAUAUCACUUGAAAGAAGGAACUACUUCAAAUUUUUAUGCUAACACUCAUGUUUCUUUUAUCGUUGUUAUCCUCCAUGAUACAAUGUAGACAAACUUGGAAGUUUGCUAAGAUAAAGUGACCAUGAAAGUGUC